rnacentral:misc_RNA from 1 species
GAUGAAGAACGUAGCGAAAUGCGAUACUUGGUGUGAAUUGCAGAAUCCCGUGAAACAUCGAGUCUUUGAACGCAAGUUGCGCCUCAAGCCAUUAGGUUGAGGGCACGUCUGCCUGGGCGUCACAUAUCGUUGCCUGAUGCCAGUUUCCUCGUGAUGGGUGACUGUGCAGGGCGAAUGAUGGCUUCCCGUGAGCAUUGUUGCCUCAUGGUUGGUUGAAAAUUGAGUCCUUGGUAGGGAGCGCCGUGAUAGAUGGUGGUUGAGUGACGAACGAGACCCAAUCAUGUGAGACCCCUACCGAAUUUGGCCUUCAUGACCCACAUGCGUCUUUGGAACGCUCAUGACGAGACCUCAGGUCAGGCGGGGCUACCCGCUGAGUUUAAGCAUAUCAAUAAGCGGAGGA